rnacentral:rRNA from 1 species
GACGAACGCUGGCGGCGUGCUUAACACAUGCAAGUCGAACGGAAAGGCCCUGCUUUUGUGGGGUGCUCGAGUGGCGAACGGGUGAGUAACACGUGAGUAACCUGCCCUUGACUUUGGGAUAACUUCAGGAAACUGGGGCUAAUACCGGAUAGGAGCUCCUGCUGCAUGGUGGGGGUUGGAAAGUUUCGGCGGUUGUGGAUGGACUCGCGGCUUAUCAGCUUGUUGGUGGGGUAGUGGCUUACCAAGGCUUUGACGGGUAGCCGGCCUGAGAGGGUGACCGGCCACAUUGGGACUGAGAUACGGCGCAGACUCCUACGGGAGGCAGCAGUGGGGAAUAUUGCACAAUGGGCGGAAGCCUGAUGCAGCGACGCCGCGUGCGGGAUGACGGCCUUCGGGUUGUAAACCGCUUUCGCCUGUGACGAAGCGUGAGUGACGGUAAUGGGUAAAGAAGCACCGGCUAACUACGUG